AGAGUUUGAUCCUGGCUCAGGAUGAACGCUAGCGGCAGGCUUAACACAUGCAAGUCGAGGGGCAGCGUGUCCAGCAAUGGAUGAUGGCGACCGCGGGAAGGGUGCGUAACGCGUGAGCAACAUGCCCUAUACAGGGAGAUACACCAGGGAAACUUGGUCUAAUAUCCCAUAGCAUUCAUUGAAGGCAUCUUUAAUGAAUUAAAGCUUCGGUGGUAUAGGAUUGGCUCGCGUGACAUUAGCCAGAUGGUGAGGUAACGGCUCACCAUAGCAAUGAUGUCUAGGGGUUUUGAGAGGAAGGCCCCCCACACUGGGACUGAGACACGGCCCAGACUCCUACGGGAGGCAGCAGUGAGGAAUAUUGGACAAUGGAUGGAAAUCUGAUCCAGCCAUGCCGCGUGCAGGAAGACGGCCUUAUGGGUUGUAAACUGCUUUUAUACGGGAGCAAUAAGGGUUACGAGUAAUCCGAUGAGAGUACUGUAUGAAUAAGGAUCGGCUAACUCCGUGCCAGCAGCCGCGGUAAUACGGAGGAUCCGAGCGUUAUCCGGAAUUAUUGGGUUUAAAGGGUGCGUAGGCGGCCAUUUAAGUCAGCGGUGAAAUUUUGCAGCUUAACUGUAACAGUGCCGUUGAUACUGUUUGGCUAGGAUUUGGUUGUAGUGUGCGGAAUGUGUGGUGUAGCGGUGAAAUGCUUAGAUAUCACACAGAACACCGAUUGCGAAGGCAGCACACUAAGUCAUUAUUGACGCUGAGGCACGAAAGUGUGGGGAUCAAACAGGAUUAGAUACCCUGGUAGUCCACACUGUAAACGAUGAUAACUCGCUGUCGGCGAUACACAGUCGGGGCCAAGCGAAAGC
rnacentral:rRNA from 1 species